rnacentral:ncRNA from 1 species
GCAGAGUAGCCGAGGCGCGUUAAGUGUUGCGAAACGGGACGUUGUUCGCAAACGAAAGGAUUUUUCCUGCGGUGCCGACGCGCGUCCGUUG